rnacentral:rRNA from 1 species
CGGGGGGAGCAAGCGUUGUUCGGAUUUACUGGGCGUAGAGGGCGCGUAGGCGGCGCAACAAGUCACUUGUGAAAUCUCCGGGCUUAACCCGGAGCGGCCAAGUGAUACUGUCGUGCUAGAGUGCGGAAGGGGCUACUGGAAUUCUCGGUGUAGCGGUGAAAUGCGUAGAUAUCGAGAGGAACACCUGCGGCGAAGGCGGGUAGCUGGGCCGACACUGACGCUGAGGCGCGAAAGCCAGGGGAGCGAACGGGAUUAGAUACCCCGGUAGUCCUGGCCUUAAACGAUGGAUACUUGGUGUCCGGGGGUUACAUAGUCCCCGGGUGCCGGCGCUAACGCAUUAAGUAUCCCGCCUGGGGAGUACGGUCGCGAGACUG